rnacentral:rRNA from 1 species
AAUAUUGCACAAUGGGGGAAACCCUGAUGCAGCGACGCCGCGUGAAGGAAGAAGUCUCUCGGUAUGUAAACUUCUAUCAGCAGGGAAGAAAGUGACGGUACCUGACUAAGAAGCCCCGGCUAAUUACGUGCCAGCAGCCGCGGUAAUACGUAAGGGGCAAGCGUUAUCCGGAUUUACUGGGUGUAAAGGGAGCGUAGACGGCAGAGCAAGUCUGAUGUGAAAGGCAGGGGCUCAACCCCUGGACUGCAUUGGAAACUGUUCGGCUUGAGUGCCGGAGAGGUAAGCGGAAUUCCUAGUGUAGCGGUGAAAUGCGUAGAUAUUAGGAGGAACACCAGUGGCGAAGGCGGCUUACUGGACGGCAACUGACGUUGAGGCUCGAAAGCGUGGGGAGCAAACAG